rnacentral:rRNA from 1 species
CGUAGGUGAACCUGCGGAAGGAUCAUUAUUGAAACAUGGGCGCUGAGGGCUGUCGCUGACCGAUUCGUUGGUCGUGCACGCCUGAAGUGUUCUCAUCCAUCUCACCCCUUUGUGCAUCACCGCGUGGGCUUUCCUUUUUUUAAAAAAAAGGGUUGGCUUGCGUUUUUUUUUCCACACAAACACAGUUUAUUUUUUGAAUGUAUCUUCUUUUGCGGUCACACGCAAUCAGUACAACUUNNNNNNNNNNNNNNNNNNNNNNNNGCAUCGAUGAAGAACGCAGCGAAAUGCGAUACGUAAUGUGAAUUGCAGAAUUCAGUGAAUCAUCGAAUCUUUGAACGCACCUUGCGCCCCUUGGUAUUCCGAGGGGCACACCCGUUUGAGUGUCGUGAAAUUCUCAACCUCCUUGGUUUUUCCAARGGAAGGCUUGGACUUUGGAGGCUUCUGCUGGCCCAGAAACUUUGGGUCAGCUCCUCUUAAAUGGAUUAGCAGGGUCCUCUUUGCCGAUCCUCGACGUGAUAAGAUGUUUUCUACGUCUUGGGCUCGGCUCUGUUCAUUGGGACCUGCUCCUAACCGUCUCAUCUGGAGACAAAAAGGGCUUUCAAUUGAAUAGCCCAAUUUAUGAAACCUUGACCUCAAAUCGGGUGAGACUACCCGCUGAACUUAAGCAUAUCAAUAAGCGGAGGA